GAUGAACGCUGGCGGCGUGCCUAAUACAUGCAAGUCGAGCGAACAGACGAGGAGCUUGCUCCUCUGACGUUAGCGGCGGACGGGUGAGUAACACGUGAAUAACCUACCUAUAAGACUGGGAUAACUUCGGGAAACCGGAGCUAAUACCGGAUAAUAUAUUGACCCGCAUGGUUCAAUAGUGAAAGACGGUUUUGCUGUCACUUAUAGAUGGAUCCGAGCCGCAUUAGCUAGUUGGUAAGGUAACGGCUUACCAAGGCAACGAUGCGUAGCCGACCUGAGAGGGUGAUCGGCCACACUGGAACUGAGACACGGUCCAGACUCCUACGGGAGGCAGCAGUAGGGAAUCUUCCGCAAUGGGCGAAAGCCUGACGGAGCAACGCCGCGUGAGUGAUGAAGGUCUUCGGAUCGUAAAACUCUGUUAUUAGGGAAGAACAAAUGUGUAAGUAACUAUGCACGUCUUGACGGUACCUAAUCAGAAAGCCACGGCUAACUACGUG
rnacentral:rRNA from 1 species